rnacentral:tmRNA from 1 species
GGGGCUGAUUCUGGAUUCGACGGGAUUUGCGAAACCCAAGGUGCAUGCCGAGGGGCGGUUGGCCUCGUAAAAAGCCGCAAAAAAUAGUCGCAAACGACGAAAACUACGCUUUAGCAGCUUAAUAACCUGCUUAGAGCCCUCUCUCCCUAGCCUCCGCUCUUAGGACGGGGAUCAAGAGAGGUCAAACCCAAAAGAGAUCGCGUGAAAGCCCUGCCUGGGGUUGAAGCGUUAAAACUUAAUCAGGCUAGUUUGUUAGUGGCGUGUCCGUCCGCAGCUGGCAAGCGAAUGUAAAGACUGACUAAGCAUGUAGUACCGAGGAUGUAGGAAUUUCGGACGCGGGUUCAACUCCCGCCAGCUCCACCA